GAUUAGAUCUCAAAUCAGGUAGGACUACCCGCUGAACUUAAGCAUAUCAAUAAGCGGAGGAAAAGAAACUAACAAGGAUUCCCCUAGUAGCGGCGAGCGAAGCGGGAAGAGCUCAAAUUUAUAAUCUGGCACCUUCGGUGUCCGAGUUGUAAUCUCUAGAAGUGUUUUCCGCGUUGGACCGCACACAAGUCUGUUGGAAUACAGCGGCACAGUGGUGAUACCCCCGUACACGGUGCGGACGCCCAGCGCUUUGUGAUACACUUUCAAUGAGUCGAGUUGUUUGGGAAUGCAGCUCAAAUUGGGUGGUAAAUUCCAUCUAAAGCUAAAUAUUGGCGAGAGACCGAUAGCGAACAAGUACCGUGAGGGAAAGAUGAAAAGCACUUUGGAAAGAGAGUUAACAGUACGUGAAAUUGUUGGAAGGGAAACGCUUGAAGUCAGACUUGCUUGCCGGAGCUUGCUUCGGUUUGCAGGCCAGCAUCAGUUUUCCGGGGUGGAUAAUGGUGGUUUGAAGGUAGCAGCCUCGGCUGUGUUAUAGCUUUCCACUGGAUACAUCCUGGGGGACUGAGGAACGCAGCGUGCUUUUUGCGAAGGUUUCGACCUUUUCACGCUUAGGAUGCUGGUGUAAUGACUUUAAACGACCCGUCUUGAAACACGGACCAAGGAGUCUAACAUGCUCGCGAGUA
rnacentral:rRNA from 1 species